AUUGAACGCUGGCGGCAUGCCUUACACAUGCAAGUCGAACGGCAGCACGGAAGCAAUCCUGGUGGCGAGUGGCGAACGGGUGAGUAUAGUAUCGGAACGUGCCCAGUCGUGGGGGAUAACGUAGCGAAAGUUACGCUAAUACCGCAUACGAUCUAUGGAUGAAAGCGGGGGAUCGCAAGACAUCGCGCGAUUGGAGCGGCCGAUAGCAGAUUAGGUAGUUGGUGGGGUAAAGGCUCACCAAGCCGACGAUCUGUAGCUGGUCUGAGAGGACGACGAGCCACACUGGGACUGAGACACGGCCCAGACUCCUACGGGAGGCAGCAGUGGGGAAUUUUGGACAAUGGGCGAAAGCCUGAUCCAGCCAUGCCGCGUGCAGGAUGAAUGCCUUCGGGUUGUAAACUGCUUUUGUACGGAACGAAAAGGUUUGGCCUAAUAAGCUGAGCUCAUGACGGUACCGUAAGAAUAAGCACCGGCUAACUACGUGCCAGCAGCCGCCGCCG
rnacentral:rRNA from 1 species